CCUACGGGUGGCAGCAGUGGGGAAUAUUGGACAAUGGGCGAAAGCCUGAUCCAGCCAUGCCGCGUGUGGGAAGAAGGCCUUCGGGUUGUAAAGCACUUUCAGUGGGGAAGAAAGCCUUGGGGCUAAUACCCUCGAGGAAGGACAUCACCCACAGAAGAAGCACCGGCUAACUCCGUGCCAGCAGCCGCGGUAAUACGGAGGGUGCGAGCGUUAAUCGGAAUUACUGGGCGUAAAGCGCGCGUAGGCGGUCUGAUAAGCCGGUUGUGAAAGCCCCGGGCUCAACCUGGGAACGGCAUCCGGAACUGUCAGGCUAGAGUGCAGGAGAGGAAGGUAGAAUUCCCGGUGUAGCGGUGAAAUGCGUAGAGAUCGGGAGGAAUACCAGUGGCGAAGGCGGCCUUCUGGACUGACACUGACGCUGAGGUGCGAAAGCGUGGGUAGCAAACAGGAUUAGAUACCCCUGUAGUC
rnacentral:rRNA from 1 species